CCUACGUGAGGCAGCAGUGGGGAAUAUUGCACAAUGGGGGAAACCCUGAUGCAGCCACGCCGCGUGAGUGAAGACGUAUUUCGGGGUGUAAAGCGCUUUCAGCAGGGAAGAGAAAGACGGUACGUGUCACAUAAGCCCCGGCUAACUACGUGCCAGCAGACGCGGGACUAAGCCGGGGGCGCGCGUUAUCCGGAUUUACUGGGUGUAAAGGGAGCGUAGACGGUUGUGCAAGUCUGACGUGAAAGCCCCUGGCUUAACCGCGGAACGGCUUUGGAAACUGGGGAACUGGAGUGCUGGAGAGGCAAGCGGAAUUCCUAGUGUAGCGGUGAAAUGCGUAGAUAUUAGGAGGAACACCAGUGGCGAAGGCGGUUUGCUGGACAGUAACUGACGCUGAGGCUCGAAAGCGUGGGGAGCAAACAGGAUUAGAUACCCUAGUAGUC
rnacentral:rRNA from 1 species